UAGUUCUUCCGCAUGGUAGAACUAUUAAAGAAUUUCGGUCAUCGAUGGGGAUGCGUUCCAUUAGAUAGUAGGCGGGGUAACGGCCCACCUAGUCUUCGAUGGAUAGGGGUUCUGAGAGGAAGGUCCCCCACAUUGGAACUGAGACACGGUCCAAACUCCUACGGGAGGCAGCAUG
rnacentral:rRNA from 1 species